rnacentral:lncRNA from 1 species
AGUGCGGAUGUAUUUUUGUGCAUGCUCGAGGAGUUUGACGUCGGAUCGAGAAAGCAUCUUGUCCAGAAAAUAGGUGAACCUGGAGCCCGUAGUCCCCACUUCAUGGCUGCAAUGGCCGUUGAUUCAUCGAGGUCCUUAACUUCUAGAGUGGCAGUGUUGAAACGCACCAUGAAGUCAUGCAGUGAUUCUUCAUGGUCUGCAGUAUCCUUUGAUUG